rnacentral:rRNA from 1 species
AGUGAACGCUGGCGGUAGGCCUAACACAUGCAAGUCGAACGGCAGCACAGUAAGAGCUUGCUCUUACGGGUGGCGAGUGGCGGACGGGUGAGGAAUACAUCGGAAUCUACUUUUUCGUGGGGGAUAACGUAGGGAAACUUACGCUAAUACCGCAUACGACCUACGGGUGAAAGCAGGGGAUCUUCGGACCUUGCGCGAUUGAAUGAGCCGCUGUCGGAUUGGCUAGUUGGCGGGGUAAAGGCCCACCAAGGCGACGAUCCGUAGCUGGUCUGAGAGGAUGAUCAGCCACACUGGAACUGAGACACGGUCCAGAGUCCUACGGGAGGCAGCAGUGGGGAAUAUUGGACAAUGGGCGCAAGCCUGAUCCAGCCAUACCGCGUGGGUGAAGAAGGCCUUCGGGUUGUAAAGCCCUUUUGUUGGGAAAGAAAAGCAGCAGGUUAAUACCCCGCUGUUCUGACGGUACCCAAAGAAUAAGCACCGGCUAACUUCGUG